rnacentral:rRNA from 1 species
AAGCGCUUGCAAUCAGACUUGCAUGCAGUUGAUCAUCCGAUGUUCUCACCGGUGCACUCAUCUGCAUUCAGGCCAGCAUCGGUUUUGGUGGUUGGAUAAAGGCCCUGGGAAUGUAGCUUCUUCCGGGGAGUGUUAUAGCCCAAGGUGCAA